UAUGGUAUGUGCCAGCAGCCGCGGUAAUACGUAGGGAGCAAGCGUUGUCCGGAUUUACUGGGUGUAAAGGGUGCGUAGGCGGCUUUGCAAGUCAGAUGUGAAAUCUAUGGGCUCAACCCAUAAACUGCAUUUGAAACUGUAGAGCUUGAGUGAAGUAGAGGCAGGCGGAAUUCCCCGUGUAGCGGUGAAAUGCGUAGAGAUGGGGAGGAACACCAGUGGCGAAGGCGGCCUGCUGGGCUUUAACUGACGCUGAGGCACGAAAGCGUGGGUAGCAAACAGG
rnacentral:rRNA from 1 species